rnacentral:rRNA from 1 species
GACGAACGCUGGCGGCGGGCUUAACACAUGCAAGUUGAGCGGAGCGGCGAACGGGUGAGUAACGCGGGAGUAACUGCACCCAUCUCUGGGAUAACAGUUGGAAACGGCGGCUAAUACCGGAUAGUGGGGGAUGACGUGAGUCCUAUCAGCUUGUUGGUGGGGUAGGGGCCUACCAAGGGGACGACGGGUAGCCGGCCUGCGAGGGCGACCGGCCUCAUUGUGCUGAGGUACGGCCCAAACUCCUGCGGGAGGCUGCAGUGGGGAAUAUUUCACAAUGGGUGAAACCCUGAUGCAUCAACGCCGCGUGCGGGAUAACUGCCUUCGGGUUGUAGACCGCUUUCAGCCAUUACGCGGUAGUGGCAGAAGAAGCACCGGCUAACUACGUGCCAGCAGCCGCAGUAAUUC